rnacentral:rRNA from 1 species
AGAAUCAACGCUGGCGGCGUGCCUAACACAUGCAAGUCGAACGAGAAAGUGGAGCAAUCCAUGAGUACAGUGGCGUACGGGUGAGUAACACGUGACUACCUACCCUCGAGUGGGGAAUAACCUCGGGAAACCGGGCUAAUACCGCAUAACAUCUACGGAUCAAAUGCGAAAGCAGCUUGAGGAGGGGGUCGCGGCCGAUUAGCUAGUUGGUGAGGUAAUGGCUCACCAAGGCAAUGAUCGGUAGCCGGCCUGAGAGGGCGCACGGCCACACUGGAACUGAAACACGGUCCAGACUCCUACGGGAGGCAGCAGUGGGGAAUUUUGCGCAAUGGGGAAACCCUGACGCAGCAACGCCGCGUGGAGGAUGAACGCCCCGUUGGGUGUAAACUCCUUUCGAGUCGGGACGAUUAUGACGGUACCGGAUGAAGAGCACCGGCUAACUCUGCGCCAGCAGCCGC